GUUCCGUUUGACAACUGAAAAAGAAAUGUCAAAGAAUGGGAUGCCAAGAGAAGCUCAUCAAAAAGACAUCUGGUCCUGCUGUCCUCAAUAGGAAAUUCCCCCCUUCCUCUAGCCACCCUUUUCCCAGCCACAAUCUUUUGAAACAGUUAGUUAAUGUCUGAGAGAAUCCAAAAUAUUGCUGGAAUGUAUCAGCAAUGAAGCUUUUGUAUAGCUGAGCAGCUAAACAGCUCUGGUUUUGUUUGCGUUAGGGCUGAUUAUCUUGCCUUUCAUUGGUGAAAGUCAGAAGUAGCUGGACAGCAGUCAGUGGAACAAUACCAGCACAAGGCCAGUUUAAGCUGUAAAAGAAUGUGUCCCUCUCUUUUACAUGAAGCACUUCACAAGGAAGCAAUAAGACUUCAAAAAGAACAGCAUAGGAUGCUUGCUAAUCUUCUGAAAUGAAGAAUGCAUGUCCUGUUUUCCAACAAAGUUCUCAUCCUUCUUCUACUGAGAGCUGCCUACCUUUCCCUGCAACAACCAUGCUACCAUAGACAGUGACCCAUCUGCUGCUCUGCUUCUUCUAACCCUUUCUUCAUUGACUUAGCCCUGGCAGGCUCCCAGGUCCUUCCUGGAAUCAGAGAAUAGUUUGGUCUUCUAUAAAGCACUAGUUAUCUCUGGGGAAAAAGUUUCAUUACCGUUCAUGCUCCUGAAUGGGUAGCCUGGGAUUCUUAGAACUGUUCUGCAGUAAGUCACAUGGCAAUGUAAUUUAUUACAGCUUGUUUCAUAAAACUGUGUUCCAGGAGUCUGGGUGGCUAAGGGUUUUGUAAUGAGGUGUAGAGUCUCUAAUCAUGUGAAUCAAGACAAAGUUAGCAGAGUCCAGCAGAGCUAUUCAGAACUCCCCGAGGAGUAAGUGGAAGCCUCAGUUCAAUUCCCCAGCACCAACUAUCCCCUCAACCUGCCAAAAAGAAAUUCCAGAACACAGGCAGGAUUCAGUGGAUCAGGGUCAAAGACAUUGAUGGGAGCCCCAUAAAUGUACUGAAUGUCUUGUCUGUGUCAGCUCUUUGCUCCUGACUAGAUGGGGGAUCAAGGAGGACCAUCAACAAGACAACUGAGCUUGCAGUUGUUGAAAGUGGCAGUCCCUCUUACUUAGUCAUGGUUGUGUGGUUCCAUCUGCUUGCCUGGACCUGCUGUAAUGCUCAUAUAGUCUCUUUCUUCCUUUCAGAUGUAGAUGCUUACCAUUUACCUGGUACUAGUGCCAGGUUUGUGAGGCAACUCGGUUUUCUAGCCUGAGAGAAGAAUCUGCCAUUUUAGUUUUCCAGCACUUCAGCAUGAAAGCUGAUCCAAGAAUUUUGAAAAUGAUACAAGGAAGGAAUCAUGUAGCCAUAAGCAGGGGGAGGAGAGGAAAAGAGAUCUCUGCCUUUCAGAUAUAGCAACGUUGUUAUGUUUGCUCAGCUCUCCGUAGAUCCAGAGUUUUGGUUGCUGUUCAGAAGGAUCUGAAUAUAGACGAAAGUAACAGUACAACAUCUCUCUGUUUGGCAGAAGUCCUGUGUAGAGCCCCUGUACUAGAAGGGAAUUGUCCCCCUGCUCAGAUUAUGCCAGCAUUUCAGCCUGGCACUGCAGCCAGGGAGACCAAAGCGACGAUCAGGACAUUGCUGUUAGCUUCUCUGUUUCUUAGUGUUUCACAGAACACACCUCAGCUCAAAUCUCCACUCAGAACUGCUACAAAACCUACCUCCACUCAUACCUCUCACAUUAAUUGGUCUGAAAUAGUUUUAUGCCUGCUUGAACACUACUAUCCACAGGGAUGUUACACCCUUAUCUAAAUAAGUACCAGAGCUGGCAUUUCAAAGAACAGUGGGGUGCAGACACUGUUGAUCCGAGCACUUCUCACUGGCAGCCCUCGUCUGCAGAAUCACAAACCACCGUCUUCCUCCAUCUCUCCUCCAGGUGCCUGCACACACAGCCACAGUAUUUUGGUAUGGCUCUGCAUCUUUCAGAAACUUAACCAGGACAAAUUAAUUUCACAACUGGCUGAACUUGGUCUUGCUGAAGAAAUUCCUGAACAGCUUUGAUAAGGACUUGGGGAAGAGGGAAAGGAAAGCCUUGUGAAAGAACAGAUUUCCUUGAAGUGCGGUGGAAAUGUCUCCGUUUUGUUCCAUUAUUCCAAAUUUGGAAUAUUAUUCCAUUUGGAAUAUUUUCUAUGAGGAAGUGGCAGCUUGCAGGUGCCAAAGUCACUGAAGACUGACAUCUGCUUGCUGGAUCUGAUAGUUCAGAAAUGUGGAUUGCCUGUCUUAUGUGGUAGUUAUGAAUUGACCACUGGCUAGGUGAAAGUCACUUUCUGGUUCCAGCUGGUACACAGAUUCUCUCUGAAGUGUCACCCCCUGUCAAGCACAGCCUCAGAGGAUGGUGAGCAGAAGGGGCACAUGGGGACCUGGUGGGUGGCAGAGCAAUGCCAUUCCAGCUGGGCUGCUCUCUGCAGCUGAACAAACAUGCCACUUUCUUCCCCUCUGUGCUGAGGGAGCCUGCUUAUUGCAAUUUUUGGAAAAUGUGAAGAGGGCCAUAUGAUGCAAGCUUGAUUUCUUCUACACACACUUGUAUUUCCCAUGGCUGCCUUAGACCACAGGUGUGAAUAGUCUGUGUGUUGACAGGUCCAGAAAUUAGGAUAUAUGGAUUCUGUGGAGCUCUUGUUUGGCUUUGUCUAACUAACUCUCCUCAUCUUCCUGACUCCAUGACCCAGCUAUUGCACAAAAAUGAUGAUACUCCCCCGCUCUGUCUCACUCAGCUGGAUAUGUGGAAAUUAGCAUUUGUGAGUACUUCAGGCCCUGUAGAUGUGGGCGGAUGGCCAAGAGCUUGACUUGCAGAGCAAAGUCAAUGUGCAAGGGAUUGUGUAGUUUGGAAAAUCCACUCAUCUGCCUUACAGUGUGAGGAGCUGUCUGCAAGAAGAGGCUCAUUUCCAUCGCACCCAGGCCACACCACCCAGCCUUUACCUUCUUCCUCUCCUCUCUUAAAACCCCAAGCCAGGCCCAAGCUCCCUUUUACCCAGACUUCAAAGUCUACUAGUCCCUUGAGGAUUAAGGCAGUCGGAUGAGGAAGAACCUCAAAACAACGUGACCUCAAUGGAACCUCAUCCUUCAGUGGAAGGAGGAUUAGAGCCUCCCAGGGAGAGCCAGUGGCUACAGAAGAUGGCGAAUAUGCUCUAGUGCAUGAUGCAGAGUUGAUUUCUGAUUCCUUGUUUUUCAGCUCUUGGGGAUGUAACUUGUAUUUCUUCUCACAGGAACAGUGAAACUGCCCUUCUAGAUCAGAUUCCUAGCGCAUCCUCUUGCUACAAAGAUCCUGUAUGGACAUAUGUACGUAUGGCUUCCCUGUCCUCACAGGCUUAACGUUAAUUCCUAAGAACCUUCUUUAAAAUCUGUUUUCUUCUCCUCUAUAAUUUUUGUAUGCAUAAACUAUUGCAACUUUAGACAUUCCUAUUACUGAUAUAAAUAUUAAAUUCCUCCUGUAAUAUCUCCAAAA